UCAAAUUAUAAAGCCCAAGUUCUCCUUUAAGACAACAGAGUCAAAUGCGCGGCAACAUAUUUAUAAAUCUAUUGGAAAGAAGUGGGCUGCAAAUAAGAACAACUUGUGAAAGUUAGUCGAAGACCCACUUAAAAGUAAGGUUGAGAUUAUUGAUAAUGUGCCAGAUGGAAUUCCACGAGAUCAAUGGAUUUCUUUUGUUGAUUACCAAUAUAAAGAUUCAACAAAGGAAAUGAGUAGAAGAAAUACUGAAAAUC